UCUUUUUUUUUUUUUUUUAAUUUCCUCCUCCUCCAUUCUUCACUCCUCUCCACUAAAUUUUUACAUUGAUCACACUGAAGGAUGCAUGUCCUUUGUCCUUACAAAUAAAACAGUAAUGCUGUGUUCUCAUGAAACCUUCAUUAUCCCAGUAAGGUGACAAUGACAUGGAUCCUCUCAUUUUUGUGCAAACACGAUCUAUCAUGUUUGCACAAUCUCAGCUCUUGAAUUCAAAAUAAAUGGUUGAGAUUUUGCUAAAAAUUAAAAUUUAAUUUUCAGGUAAUCAGUGGUUAUAUAUGAAAAAAUAAAAACUCAAUGGAUCAUUUUGACAUUGCUCAAACAUGAGAGGAUCUUGAUGCAGGCGACAAAUAAUGAUUUACUAAACAACCAACUUCAUACUUGUAAUUAAUCAAACCCCAAUAUCUUGGCAUCAUAGGAGGCGAGGCUUAGGCUAUGUAGAGUAAUCAAUGCACCAAGUACCCAAUUCAAUCUAACGCAAUUUCUAGGACAAAUUAUCAAGCACCAAAUGGCCUGAAGGAGGGGCUACAACUUGAAUGGCAAUUUGCAAUUGGAGCAUUAGAACCGUUAGCUCAGAGUAAACAACUAAACAUGCUGAGUUAAUCCAACUAUUGAUGUCAUUAGGGAUACAGCUUCAAAAGGGACAUAGGAAACAAGUAAAGAAAAUACAAUCUCCAACAUAGAAGGCACAGCAAAAUCUACAAUGUGCUCAGGCAAUAAUAACGAUAAUUAGUUAUAUAGCUUCAAAACGCAAAACCCUAGAUUGCUCAACGCACAUGCUUAACAUUUGCUUCAAAGUCAAAACAGAACCAAAAGAAACAACAACUCACAAACAAAAUUUUCUAAACUAGGGUUUUACCAUAAUCAAUUUAAAGAUAAUCAAAUUCAUUAUACUCUAAAAUUUAAUAGAAAGAAUUAACUUCAAAGAUAAAGCAAACGAAUGGUGAGAAGAAACGAGUUGAUAGAAGAAGAAAAUCAUCGAAAAAAUAAGAAACUGGAACAUACCUGAGAAAGAGAA
rnacentral:misc_RNA from 1 species